GACCCUAUGACAACACAGAAUGAUUUAAGUCUAACUGACUGCAAAGUAGAUUUCUCAUAUAUAAUUAGUGAUUUCUUGGGCAGUCCCAUCUUAAUUUGUGAACAUGAACAGGAAAUUGCUUUCAAAGCCUCCAAAGCAAAGCAGCCAAGCCUGACUAAUUAACAUCAUAAAGACAAACAGAAGCUCAGGAUUCAGUAAUGUAUCAUUGAAGAGAAUGUCAGUACACAAGUCAGUUUGUAAUGGAUAUGAGGCCGUUAAGUUGUAUAAUUUGUAUACUGGUGUUGCUCUAACUGGUGUUAGUGUGAUGCCUUUAUUUUUCUCAUACUGCUAAAAAGAGGCUCCAUUGCUCUUUGCCAUAUAUUUUUUAUGUCGCUGGAGCAUACUGAAGAGAUGAAAGACUAUUUGAGGUGAAGCUCAAUUUCUAACACAUUGCAUAGAAGCAAAGCAGUAGCAUUUUUUUAUACGGGCGACAGGGGCGGUUGCCCGGGGCGGCAUCACGGUGGGGGGCGGCAUCACGGGCAUCGGCAAAAAAAAAAAAAAAAAAAAUUGCUCCUACUCAUGCUGCCCCGACAUCAGCCAGCGCAUAUUGGGAAUGGCAUAGGCACCGAUCGGUUUUCUAUCUCCCAUUUCCUGGGAGUAAGGGCGCCCUCCGUUUGCGAGGUGCGCCUGCUGCUUGCGGCACAGGGAGGAGAGGGCGGGGCGGCAGGGGAUUCACUAAAUAAAUCCAAGCCCAUUAUGUGUUCAUGAUUUGAAUCCUGGGUUGUGUGAAAUCCCAGAAAUACACCUUAGACAAAGUGAAUCUGUGAACUAAGGUGUAGGUCUAUCAGGUUAAGUUGUGGUGAUCCUUGAGUUGAGUUGGGGGAUUUGUGUUCAUACUGGAGUCCAAAAUUAAAACCAAUGGAAGAUGGACAAGAAAAGUUCAAAGCCAUCAGGUGCUCAGUUUAGAAAAAAUAGAAAAGAAGAGGAGGAGAAACUAGCAAAAGAUACAGGUAAGCAGAUGUGUCAUUGGAUAAUGGCAGGUCAUCCUGAAACAAUCAGAAUCAGAAUCAGAAUACUUUAUUAAUCCCUAAGAAAAUAAUGUGGAUUGCAGUUGCUCCAAGAAGAAAUCGGAA
ensembl:lncRNA